UACGUAGGGUGCAAGCGUUGUCCGGAAUUAUUGGGCGUAAAGCGCACGUAGGUGGUCUGUUAUGUCAGAUGUGAAAGCCCUCGGCUUAACUGAGGAAGUGCACCUGAAACUGGCAGGCUUGAGUACGAAAGAGGGUCGCGGAAUUCCCGGUGUAGAGGUGAAAUUCGUAGAUAUCGGGAGGAACACCGGUGGCGAAGGCGGCGUUCUGGACGGCAUCUGACACUGAGAAACGAAAGCCAGGGGAGCAAACGGG
rnacentral:rRNA from 1 species